GGAACUCCUGCAGGUACAAGGAGCAGCAAUUUAAGUCCGAGGACGACCAGGAAUUUCCCAGGUUCUGCCAGAUAGCCACACAUCCCCAUGUUUGUUUGCUUCUUUCUUUUCCUCUUUCUUUCACUGCGCAACUUCCAGAAAAUAAUAAUAUAUAUAUAUUUUUUUAAAAAAAGGGAAAAAAGCCCAAACUUAACGCGGCCGUAUAUAUUCCUUCGGCGUCCUUAUCAGCCUCGGCUCCUGGCACGCAGAUUUGCUGCCACUGUAGCGCCGGGGGAGAUGCGUCCUGUCCGGUUCUCAGGCAGACCACCGCGCUUCUCGGAGAAAUGCGCGCCGUCUCCUCUGCUCCCGACUGUAAUCUCUGUGAAAUGGAUGCUGAGGCACAGAUGCAUCAGCCUGAGCUCCUGUACGUUUCCCUCCCCUCCCGCGGCGUCCUUUUCUCUCUGUCGUCGGGGUGAGACGGUGGGAAGCUGAGAGCAUUCAGAGCAAGCGCCUGAAUCCCCUCACUAUCCUUUUUUAAUUAAGUACACACAUCUCUCUCUUUAUGUCUCCCUCUCCCUCUCUCUCUUUCUCUCUAUUUCUCUCUCUAUUUCUCUCUCUAUUUCUCUCUCCCUUGUGUCUUGGUCCUCUUGCACCAUCAGGACCUGUGGACAUACCUGCCAAUUCAUAGGGGGAUUCCAAGUUGUGGUCCAUGGAACACCAAGCGGUCCCUGUGUUCUGCAUAUGGGACACUUGAAUAACUUGAAAUGCGCCUGCUGCUCAUAACCUCGGGCUAUUUCCUAUUAUAUUCCAUGAUGGUUGAAUCAUAGCUACACGCUAACCAUCGAAGAUUGGAAAGAUUUCUAAAUAUGCACACCAGCAUAUUUAGCUGCUUUGUCAACUCUGGUUCUCUGGCCAAAGAAAAUAAUAGAUUUGAUAUUGACCUGAUGUUUUUAUGCUUUUAAAUCGCUGACAGAUGAUUAAUUGUGUGUUUUAAUAUAUGCAUGUGUUAGAUUGCUGCUGUAGGGGAAGUAUGUGAUCAUAAAAUGUAACCAAGCAUUCUAUCCUGAGCCAACAAUCAAACCUGAUCUGCUCUCAGUACUGUGAGCCAGCAGCCAAAGACGAACCACAACAUGAGUUUAAGGUUUUCCUCUGUGGCCAUUUUGUUGACAUAGUGAACAUAGACAAUGUAUUAGGAUGCUUGUUGGAAACUUUAAACGUGGAUGACUGAUUGGUCUCGAUUUUUUUUUUUUUUUAAUUAAUUGAAAUAAAGUGUCCACAGAAAUACUCCCAGUUUACUUUGGCUGCACCAGCUGAAACCAGAACUUAAACUUAAUCUUUUUUUUUUUUUUCCAUCUAUGAAACAUAGACAUGAGAUGUAGUCAUGUAGUCAUAUUCAAAUAUGUCCAAGCUUCGAAAACAUGACAUUAGGUGUGUGGUCAGAUGACAUGCCUGGCUACUAUCGAUUGUAGCAACCUGCACCACCUGCUGGAUGGGAGUUGGUUGGGUGAACAAACUCCUGCCUAAUAUCUGAAGGCUGUUAGCACGACGCUAGCGGAUGUUUAGUGUUGACAUGGAGCAGGAAGCUGAGGCCAUUAUUGUUUCUCCCUUGUAGCAACCUGCGCCACCCAUAAUGUCCUUUGGAAAGUCAGUUUUAAAAACUGAAGGCAUUCCAGAAAAAAGACAGAACAUGGAGGGGAACAUGUCAAAUGAGUUAGAUUUAUAUAAUUUCCAAUUACUAUACAUGAAAAGCUCCUAAAAGACAGUCAGACAAGGCACCAAACAGAAUCAUUUUAUGUCAUUCUCAAUCAUCACUUGCAGCAAUCUGGUAGGAAGAACCUUUAGAUGCUGAUCUGUGGAACAAUUUUCCUCAGGUCAGCUGGAAUGCCUCAUAUCUCACAAUGAUGGGGGAGCAUGAUGGAGGCGCACUGAUCUGAUUCUCUGCAGAGUGAAGGUUCAAGCCGAGUGGGAGUGUCUCCAUUGGCAGCGUGUUCUUCACUCUAGUCAGUCUGAAUACAGGCAGGAACGUUGGAACGUGAGCAGGCCGACAGUGCAGCGGCGAACCUCAAAGUUCUGAUGGACUCGGAUAAACCCAGAUGUUUCUCUUUGAAUUUUGAAAGACAAACAACCAAAAGUGUCAAGAAGUUAAAAUAAAAGCCUGAAAUGAUUAUGUUACACCUUGACCUCCAUCUGUCUGAUGUCCUUGACUGUGUCUCAAAUAAACCCAAUGUAUUUCA